UACAGCGGGAAGCCACCUGGCGACAGGGAGCGGAACCCGAAAGCCUGUCUCAGUUCGGAUUGGAGUCUGCAACCCGACUCCAUGAAGCUGGAUUCGCUAGUAAUCGCGCAUCAGCCACGGCGCGGUGAAUACGUUCCCGGGCCUUGUACACACCGCCCGUCAAGCCAUGGAAGCCGGGGGUGCCUGAAGUGCGCUGCCGCAAGGAGCGCCCUAGGGUAAAACCGGUGACUGGGGCUAAGUCGUAACAAGGUAUC
rnacentral:rRNA from 1 species